rnacentral:rRNA from 1 species
UGAGUACGAGAUGCUACGGCAUCGAAGCAGUCUAUGUCAUACUUCCAAGAAAAGCUUGCAAUGUCAUAAACAAAUAAUGCCUGUACCAUAACCGACACAGGUGGGUAGGUAGAGUAUACUAAGGGGCGCGAGAUAACUCUCUCUAAGGAACUCGGCAAAAUGACUCCGUAACUUCGGGAGAAGGAGUGCCUUAUUUUUAUAAGGUUGCAAUAACAAGAUCCAAGCAACUGUUUACCAAAAACACAGGUCUCCGCUAAGUCGUAAGACGAUGUAUGGGGGCUGACGCCUGCCCAGUGCCAGAAGGUUAAAGAAGUUGGUUAGCAUUAGCGAAGCUGAUAACUGAAGCCCUGGUGAACGGCGGCCGUAACAAUAACGGUCCUAAGGUAGCGAAAUUCCUUGUCGGGUAAGUUCCGACCCGCACGAAAGGCGUAAUGAUUUGGAUACUGUCUCGGAGAGGGGCUCGGUGAAAUAGACUUGUCUGUGAAGAUGCGGACUACCUGCACCUGGACAGAAAGACCCUAUGAAGCUUUACUGUAACUUGAGAUUGAAAUUGGACUUUAUCUGCGCAGUAUAGGUGGGAGACGUUGAAAAUAUUCUUGCGGGAAUAUUGGAGUCAUCAGUGAGAUACCACUCUUAUAAUGUUAGAUUUCUAACUUUGUAUCAUUAUCUGGUCAAAGAACAGUUUCAGGCGGGCAGUUUGACUGGGGCGGUCGCCUCCCAAACGGUAACGGAGGCGCACAAAGGUUUCCUCUGAACGUGUAGAAAUCGUAUCUAGAGUGUAAAGGCAUAAGGGAGCUUGACUGUGAGACCUACAAGUCGAGCAGGGGCGAAAGUCGGUCUUAGUGAUCUGACGGUGCUGAGUGGAAAGGCCGUCACUCAACGGAUAAAAGUUACUCUAAGGAUAACAGGCUGAUCUCCCCCAAGAGUUCACAUCGACGGGGAGGUUUGGCACCUCGAUGUCGCUCAUCGCAUCCUGGGGCGGUAGUACGUCCCAAGGGUUGGGCUGUUCGCCCAUGAAAGCGGUACGCGAGCUGGGUUCAGAACGUCGUGAGACAGUUCGGUCCAUAUCCGGUGUAGGCGUUAGAAUAUUGAGAGGAGCCUUCUUUAGUACGAGAGGACCGAGAAGGACAUACCUCUGGUGUACCAGUUAUCGUGCCAACGGUAAACGCUGGGUAGCCAUGUAUGGAGAGGAUAACCGCUGAAAGCAUCUAAGUGGGAAGCCCACCUCAAGAUAAG